rnacentral:lncRNA from 1 species
GCAACAACCUUGUUACUGUAUUGCACAGCUCAAUGCAGCAGUGCAGUGGCCAUGUUUAAUACCUCCAUGGAGAAACUGCAGUGACAACUGUGCAAGGGAGAUUAUGCUAUAUUCAAAUGUACACAAAUGUUUGAGAAAGACUUUAGCCACAUUAGCAAAGGGGUUAUGACUCAUGUGCACAGCCAAGUUGAAAAUGUGACUGUGGGCAUUUUCUCCCAUUGUGUAUAGCCCCAGCCUUGCACUACCUAAUGUCACAUUGCUAAGUGGACUAGCUGCAAACUGUGAAGAAUAUGCCAAACAUGGCUAUGACAUCCAGGCUAGAGACAACAAGCUUAGUAACACCUUAGAGGUAACUGGUUGUUUUCAUUGGAAUUGGUAAAAAUAUUUGCCAAUGAUAUUGAAAAGCAGUAACUCUUCCAGAAGCUUGCCACUUGGCUGCCAUUUCACUUUUUGGUUGUGUGUAGAAGAUCUUUUUGUUCAUUGGAAAAGCCACAUUUACCUCUUUUUACCUCUAGAGUAUUCUAGCAGCACCCAAUGCAUCCCAGCUGCAGCCACAAUGGGCAUGCCUGUCUUGAUAGAGAGGGAGGUCAAUGCCAGGUCAGCAUCAGGAGGCUUUACAGGGUCCCUGAGGUGUUUAGAACUGCCUCUUCUGAUAAAAACAAAACAAAAGUGAUAAAAAAAAAAAAAAAGAAGAAGAGUGAAGCCACAAGAUGUUCCAAUGUAAUGCUGAAGCCCAGAGAAAAUAAAAGAAAGGAAAAAGACAAAACUCCUGAUAAAAGCCAUUCUCAUCACCAUGGGACUGGGAAGGACAAGUAGACCCUAACUAUGUCCUUCUUCUGGCCCUCAGCUUGCUAUGGAGCCCUAGGGGUGAGGAAAAGGAGAAAGGCCUACGCAGCCCAAUGAGCAGAGGACACAGCUCUUUCCCCUGUGGAGACACCAGCCUCAGUUCUACUACAAAGGAAUUUAAAAUGGGAAAGGAACCUACCUCCAACUAGUGUAGGGUCUUCAAGCAAGACCCCUAGCAGGAUUAGCUAUUUCCUGAUGAACUUCAAAGCCCACCCAACAGCACAGACAGUACUCCUAGGUUCUGCAAGUAAGACAACCAGAAAGAUUGACCUUUUCCUGAAAAAACUUAAAGCCUUCUCUGCUAAAUAAACUGAAGUCUCAGGUCCUAAAAUAGAGACAUGGAAAGAUUGGAUCUUUAUUAAAAUGCCUCAAAAUCGGUUGCAACGUAUGUGGUACGGAGAACACCAUAUUUAAAGCUAUGAGGAAGAGCAACAUGGAAACCAUCAGGCAGCCAGCACAGUGUGGUGGAGGGGCUGGCAUUCACUGGUACCAUGAUAUCUGAGACCAAGGAGACAGUGACCUCUGAAUCCC